GACUUUGUGUAGUUAUACAUGUAUACAUAUAUAUUAUAUAUGUCUUUGUGUAGAUAUACACACAUAUGUGUACAUGUACACACACUUCAAUCUAUGCUAAUGAAAGAAAAAUAUUUCUACAUAUCAAUACUUCCCUAUAAUACAUAGUAACAAAGAAUCACUGCCAUCAAUUUUUGUCUGAUUAAUCCAUGUACCUUUAUAAAUCAAAUACCUUAUAAAUCUGAGGUUCAGACAUUUGUCUUUAGUCCUCAAUACAUACCUUUGUUUCCUUGCACUUUAUGUAACAGGGUCUGAAAACUGACUGAAAGAGCUUGUAUUUGACAAAAGGGAUCUGUUUAGAAAUCCCUCAAUGUUACAGUGCAUUAAAUGUAAACAUUAAAAAGGAAAAGCAAAACAAUUUGCUGUUUGUGUGUGUGUGUGUGUGUGUGUGUGUGUGUGUGCGUGUGUUUAACAGUGCUCUUGUUUUAUCUUUCAGCCCAAGAACUUGCCAGUCAAGAUGAAAAACUUCUUCUAAUGGAAUCCAGCUUGAAAAGAGCUCAGGAGCGGCUGAGCACAAAGCAACAGUUCCCAAGAACAGAACAGUAGAAAACCCCAGGCCGAGCUGAAGACAGUAACAGAGGGGAUUAUGGCUUCUGAAGAAGAAUCAAAUGACUGCAAGUGAGUUGUUUUUCAAUAUUUCACAAAGUUUGACUUUACAUACUGAAAUCAAACCAAGCCUUUAACUUUCGUUGUUAAAUACUUAACUCGUGUCUUGCAAAAGGCUUUGAGUGUAUUUGCUGGAUUUUUACAGUUCAAUGUUGGUUACAGAGGAGAUAAAACAUGAAAUUUGCCUUAUUUCUUGACUACGAUGGCAUAUGAUGAAAACAGGAACCCCUCACAUUCCAGUUUCUGAGCGAUGGUGUGACAGUGAACAUUCUUGUUAACACUAGCAGAUAUGGUAAAGGUGCCAGCCAUGGGGAGGAUGGGCUGUGUCUCGGCACCUACCUGCCAGGGGCCUUCUCAUUUUACAGCUCCGGAGUCCAAAGGUUACAUAUGGCUCUGGUUGCCUUUCUUUCUCUCUUUCUUUCUUUCUUUCUUUUUUUUUAAGUCGCUGCUCUAAGCAAAAGGCAAAUGCAUUCUGCUUAAAUUGGGUUGGGGGCUUUACAGGAGACUGUGGGCACACACCUUUGACGCAUGGAAAGGACAAUGCAGAAAAGUAGCAGACCGUCUGUACAAACUUUAAAACAGUCAUAAAAAUUGUUUCUUAGGGAAACAUUUUGGAUAUUAAGUUUUGUCUCGAUCAUUUAAAUAUUUAUUUAAUAACUAUAUCUAAUGAAUAGGGCAUGUUCUAUUCAUUUUUAUCAUUUAUUUUUUCAUAUAAAUGUUACAGAAUCUUUUGAGAGAUUUCUCCACUCUGUGUCCUGUCUCCUCUGUCCUUUUCUUAAAGAUUGUUAGUUUGUUAUUUAGAAGUAACAACGAAUACCUUAUAGCCCACAUACAUUCUCCCCUUACCUUGAUCCCUCCCUCCUUCCCUCUCAGUCUCUCCUUCUGUCUUUAUCUAAUAUCAUACUUUACUAACUGAGGUUUGGUUUUACUGAGUGAUCCAGUUAGAUAAAACACAUAUUUAAACUAAUUUGUCUUUUUUCUCAUUCAUCUUUGAACCCAGUCCUGAGGCCACACUAGAUUGUGCAUUUCAUAUUAAGCGAUCCUUGGAAGCCAAUUCAUAGCUCACACAAUGUCCUGCAUAUCCUUACAAAGCAUUUCGCUUGCUUGCAAACCUGACUAAUAUUGCGAAAAUGGAAUUUUAACCUAAUAAAUUUAUUUUUGUUUUUCAAGCCAAAGGCUCAGUAUUUUCAAAAAAUAAAAUAAGAAGAAAUAAUUCUACAAUAGAUCAACAUUUUGUAUAUUUCUAAGUAAAAUAAAAUACUCUGAUAAAUCCUAUUUUUAAUGUCUCAGAUUACAGCAUUUACACAGGAAAAAAACCCUACAUUUAAUAGAUGGUAAAGAGAAGAUACUGGUGCCAAGGAUUAGAAGUGUAUUGGGAAAAGUUUCUUUGCAAAUGAUAAAGUAAUAUGUUAUUGUUAUAAAUAUGAUCUUUUAAAAAGACACUUUAUAUUAAGGAAAUUGUAUGAUACUGAUAUAUUUAGAAGACAGAAAACUUGGGAGGUUGACAGGGUGUUCAUAUGAGCUUAAUAUUCAGAAAAUGAUGGUUAUUACACAAAUAAUUAGAGAUCAAGCAAUAAUUAAAAACAAGCAAGCAGCCCAACAGCAGAUCAAAAAGCCCAGAUAUAAAGAAUUACUCACUACCUUUGAUUCCAUAAGAAAAUAAAGUAGAAAAUGAUUUAUCUGGUUAAAAUACAGGGUAAAAUUCUUGUUUGUUUAGGCUACCAUUUUCUGUUUAAUCCCACAAAUAUGCUAACAUUUGAAAUUAACUAAAAUAUUCUUUGUGAAUAUAAAACUCUAGUGUUGUACAGAAUUAUUAAAUAUGAAAUGAAAGUAGCUAGAAUACAAACUCAUUGUAAAAUACCAUAUAGAUGAAGGACUAAGUAUUUUCAGAGUCAAAUUCGGUACAUUAUACUAUGUUAUAAGGAAAACUUUAAAUAAUUAAACUGAGAACUGUUAUUCUCAUUUGUGGAUUCUCAUAAAAGAAUGAAGCUCGCCUUUUGGAAACUAUUUUUAUCUUACUCUAUCUACUUUCUUGAGGGAAAGAUCUUGUAGCCCAGGAUGGCCUUGAACUUGUGUUUCUUCUGCCUCAGUUUCUACAAUGGUGGUACUACAGGUGUGCGUCAUCACACCUGGUUCAUCAUGCUGCAAAGACUCAAACGAAAAAGCUCUCCUCCAUAGCUCUGAGUAUAUCUCUGUGUCCAAAGACAAUGUCUAUCUGUAAGAAGUAUGCUAUGAAUUUUCAUACCAAAAGUAGCCCUUUGGGCUAGAAAAUUAAGUGUUAGGUUUCCACAUUUGCUUUUACCAAGUCAAUCCACAGGCAACAGGGGAUGAUGGAGUUAACUAGAGCUUCAGUUUGGGUGACAUCAGACAUUGUGUCCCUCACAUGUCACCAGAAAGAUAAGCCCAGUUACUUAGCCAUUCAAGCAUUUUACGGAAUUAAUUUAAUGCAGCAUUCCUCUCAGAAGAAUUACCAAGUAAUUCAGGUAAAAUAAAACUGAAAAGAGUAGCUAAAUAUUUGAAUCACGUUUGGAAUGGAAAACAGAGCAGAGUUCAGAGAAUCUCACUUGAAGGCAGCACUCACAAAGGAUUUUCUUCAAAUAAUGUAAUUGUUUCUGAAAUUAUGGAUUUAUCAUUGUCUAUAAACAAAAGAAUGAAACCGGAAACAUAAGUAUAACUAUUUCUAGCAAAUCAUUAAAUAUAAUAACAAGAAUUUGGAUUUUAAGGCACCCACAAUGACAAGAUUUUGUAUCUAUCUUCUUAAUACCCUUCUUACUUCUUGGAGGUUUUUUGACAACUAUUAUCUUCACUAUCUGACCUAGUCAUUCAGAAAUUUCCAGGUUGCUACACUAUUAAAAUGCAAUACUACAUUGCAGGCUGCCGUACUACUAAAAUGCAUUACUAGGUUAAUUCAUGCAUUCCUAAUAGGAAAUAAACUGGAAAAAGAUGCACACGAAACUUUGGUAAUCUAAAGAAAAACUUUUAAAAUAUGAGCCUUAGUUUUUGUUGCCGUAAAGUCGAAUUCAUAAGAACCAUGCAGGAAGGAUUCCUUCCCCUCUUCUCCUUUUGAAGUAAAUAUAGAGAACACACACCAUGCACUUGGUAUAAGCCUGUUACACUUGAAAGAUUUGUUCUGAAUGUCCAGUGGGAACCUGGAAAUCGUAAUAAUUUGUAGUAUCGAUUGAGUGAAGCUAUGCAGCUGGGGCCUCCGGUGAAUAGACAGAAAUAGACAUUUUAUUGAUUAACUUUUACAGUCAUAUUUCCAAGACUCCGCUGCAACAUACUUUUCACUUCCCAGCUUUGUGUUGUUGUAUCAUGAAACUCGGAUUCUUCUCCCUUAACAUUUACCCACGUGAGGGAAAAAGUAUGUGCAUGCACUGCCAAGGCUGUGUUCGGCAGAAACGCAUAACUUUCUGAAAAUGGUUUCUCCCAAGUACUCUACUCCCACAAACACUAGAAGGAAGCUUUUUGAAAAAUCAUGAUAUCAGGUGGCUAGUAAUUAAACUUCUUCAUAUUUUGCUUAAAUUUCUCAUUUAAGAAUUUUAAUUUUCCUACCUUAAAUUUUUGCUAGUACACAUCAGAUGCUACCUUUGUUUGUAUUCCCAUGUUCAUGGCAUCUUAUUUGUUACAUGAAGCAGAAGAGAAAGUGUUGUGAUAAUAGUCUAUAGCAUAGUCUAAAAAGAGAGCUUUUGAAUCAUCACUUUGACAAGUGUUUCCAAGGAUAAAGAUAUGGAUGUAAACCUUCUGCAGCUAUGUGAAUAUUUGCUUUUACUUUAUACAGAACAUGUUAUAUUGUCACAGAUGAACUUAUAAAUGUUUGGACUUCAGUCAUUUGUUUAUCUCAUAUACCUGUUAUUUGCAUGUGUGUUUACUGGAGAAAAUUACUGAGCAAAACUUUUUAUCAAAUUCUUAUAUUUGGAUAAUAUUUCACAGAGAUUUUUCUGUAAAAUUGGGGAUAAAUAUUUGUAAGUGGAAUUGUUUUGGAAAAACAUCUUUUUAAAUUACUAUGCACUCUUCUUUUCACUCAUCUGCAUUUUCUAAAUGUGAAAAUCUUAACAGUAAAAUGUGAUAGUGCAAAAGUAAAUUUUAAAUAUUUCAGGUCAUUGAAUGAACUAAUAGAAUUUAAACUUGAUGAAAUUACAGUAAAGGGCAAAAAAUAAGUGAAAAGCACAGCACAACAUAUCUCCUUUUAAAUUACUCUUUUUCAGUGAAUUUCAGGAGAUAGUUUUGUUUUUCAUAAUUACUGUAGAUUUUGGUACUAAAUUGAAUCAAAUGUCCCUUUUGCUUGAGAGAAAAUUUUUUCUCAGUUAUGAAUAUACUUUAUAAUCUCCAUGCUUUUCAUUUGUUUCUGUUGAUAUUUUAAGACACAUCUAUUGAAAAUUCACUUUAGCAAUUUUCUUUUAAUCAUUAAUUUAUUCCAUAGAAGAGAAAUAAUCCUUAAGGGUCACAUUUAUAUAUUUUAAAAGUUUUCCCUUAGUUUACCAAAAUCUUGCAUGCUUUUCUUUUGUUAAUGAGUAACUUCACUUGUAAUGUACUUGAUGGCUACCUCAGAGUGAUCAGCUCAAAGUCAGUGAGCAAAGACAAUUAGUUAUCAAAAAGAGGCCUAGGUAUAUUGUGCAUAUUAAAAAGAUAUAUAUGAAAUCUUGAUUUAGCAUGUACCGUGAAACUCAAAUCCUAUAUGGGAAAGUGGUGACUUCCAGUAUUUAUCAAUAUUAUAGCACAUUGAAGCAUUUUAGUUACUUAUAUAUAAAUGACUAUCUUAUGUUUAUAUAAUGGGUUAGAUAUUUACAAGGAAGAAUAUUGAGAAAUUACUUCUUUUGCAUGCACAUAAUGAAGAAAAUGAUACACAAAGAUUUUAACUCAUUUAAUGAAUGGCAUGUCUCUUCCAAUGAAAGACUCUUGUUUACUUAAUCAAGUAUUAAACCUACAAAAAUUAAAAAGAAAAAAACCCAUACAAUUAAACCUGAUCAAGUAACAAACAUAGGACACAAGAACCCUGAAUUGAGGUUGAUUUCACUGUAAUCCUGUAGAGGAAUCCCCACAUAUUGAUCAAUGUUGAAGCCCAUGCACAGCACUUAGAAAGAUAAAGUAAGCGGGGUCAGGUAAUCAAAGCAUUUAAAUAGUAAAAACAGCAGCUGCCACUGUAGACUGCUAAAAUAAAUCCAUAAUACAAAUUGCUUUAGUAAAAAGCGGAUGAGCAGCUGAUCUUCCUAUUGAACUCUGAUACCGUUCAGUGACCACACUGGGAAAAGGAUUGGGAGAAAUGCUUUGCAGAUCAAUAUUGAGUGAGAUGUUGCAGGGAUUCAUUUUGAACAGGAAGGCAUCACAGGUGUGAGAGUACAAGCAUUGCAGGAGAUGUUCUCACAUCGAGAAUGCUUAAUGCAGUUAAAAUUGCUUUCUAUGCAUGAUAUUGCCAAACAAGCCAAAGAAAUACUUUUGGAAUUGUUUCUAGAAGUCAUUUGGAUGUGUUUAAAACAAUUCUAGCAUUUAAAGCAUAGAAAGUUCACUUUAGCGUAAAAUACUUUUGUAAUCACUUUUAAAGCAACAUAAUACUUCCUUAUGAAAAGAUUUCAUGUAAAUUAAUCAAUACACCUUUAAGAAAACAAAUAACUAUGGGAUGGUAGACUAGAGUCCAAUUCAGAGAUGUAAAAUUAGGUAUAAAAUAGAAGACAACAGUAUUGUUCGUGGGAAUUUUGCAGGAUGGAGAAACCCCAGAGAUUUGAAUCUUGCUAGCAUGUGGAGAGCUUGACUUCAAGGGCAGUGAUUGGACUCCAGGGACUUACUACCUUUGGGAUACUGUGAAGCCUCAGGAGGAUUUUCAAGAUAUAGACCUAUGACCAGAACAGUUAGGUUUUACAUUUUAAACUUUCAUAAAUUUUGACGUUUAACUACUUAUGCUUAGUGAAAAGUUGCCAUAGGUUCAGCAAAGUAUUGGAAGAAACAACUUGAGUAAAAUACUUGCUUGUAGCUUUAUUCUACUUUCGAAUUAAGAGAUCUCAUAGUCAAAGUAGAUAGGACUAUGUAUCUUGCCCCGGGUUCCCACAAGCAUCAACAUUACAUAGCCUGUUUCCAUGUUCCAAUUUGUCUACUCGUUCAUUGUACAGAUGGCAUUGUGACUUGACAAUAUGGUUUUCUAUACAAUUGCUUACUCCAGAUGUUUCCUAUGGGAUAUAGUCCCAGCCCUUUGGUAUGUUCAAUGUUGUGAUUAGAACUUCAUAAAACUUCUCGUUGAUAUGCUUUAUUCAUGAUAACACUUCUAAAUCUAGCCCUUGAUUAAAUGACCUACCAUAGAAUUACUUUAAUACAUUUUCUUUGAGAACAGAGAAGACUGUAGCAGAAAGGAGAUUGGUUACAUUUGUGACUGAAUUUCCAUAUUAAAAUGAAAAAAAAAAAAACCCUCAGGCUCCAGGCUUAAAAGUUGUAAAACUUUAACUGAGAUUCUUCAUUCUCUUUUACUGUAAUGAAUAGUUAUUUACAACUAUUGUUUGCUCCCUGUUUACUGAAUGAAUUGCUGAUCCCAGCAAUUUUAAUGGUAAAAUUGUGAAACAGUAUUCAUAGUUGUCAGAAAAAGGUCACUGUAUUUGCAUUUAUUAGGAACUUGCAGGACCAUGCAGUGUGCAUUUCCUUUGGGAUGCUACAGCUAUUGAUUUAUAUACAGCUGGGGGGAAAAUUAAUUAGGAUUAUAUUUCACUUAUUACUGCAGGCCCCAUAAUAAGAAAGAAAACCAUUUUUUUUCCUGUUGUUAGAAAUUUGGACAGAAGUACCUAAAUAGGAUCAUUGUUUCUUAAAUCAUGACUACUUUAUCAUAUAAUAUUUCUCCUAUAAUGUGGUUAGAGGCUUACUGCAUUUGUGGAAAUUUAAUUAGCACUUUGAAAAAUGAAUGUUUUAGUACAUACCCUAAAAUAGUAAAGAUGAUAAUUCAAAUUAAGCAAGAGACAUUUCCCCUUGUUAGUUGAAACUUUCCCUUCUGUGCUAAGUCAACAUGUAUUUGUCUACUGUAAAUUUUCUGGAAUUGGGUAGCUUUGGGGCAAAAGAGUUAAACAAAACAGGGACCAGGAUCAAGUGAGUUCUCAGGGUGGAGAAAGAGAGCCAAGAAAUGAAACUCAGUUAAUUUAAACAUUUCAGUUUUGAGAGCUGAGUAUAUUAGUCUCUUCUGUGAAUUUAACACUUCAACUGAAAUAGAAUGUUUUAUCAAGGAAAUCCUUACUUUAAUGAGAUGAGAUUUCACAUCUUUUUAAAUCUAUGUGGUUCUUCCUAUGAGAAUCAAGUACAUUCUAAAAAGAAUAUAACUGAAUGCAGUCCUCUACAUUGUUUAUGUGUAACACAUGUUUGAGAUUAAUCAAAUUGUAGUCACUUCUCAUUAACAGCAGAAAAUAAUUUCAAAAUUGGGCAGAGCCAGAUGACAAAGAAUUGUUUGUGUGGGUUCAAGACAUACUUUAUGAAUGGAAACACAUGCCUAUUGUGACAUCUGACUUGCUCAUUUUGUUUUCCUCCUAUUGUUCUAUCCAUAUAAAGCAUUUUAAGGGAGCCUGCUCUAUAGUGUUUUCUCGGGUACAGACUCAGUAUUUGGGGAUAAAAGAAAUCAAUGUGAUCUUUUCAAGAUACUACAAAAAUCCAAAAUUUCAGCAUAUGGAUAGUUGUUAUCAUUGGACAUGUGUAGGUUUUAUCAUGUUUAUAAAAUGUCCAUCAGAGAGCAGUAUGUUCCUCUCUUCCCCAAUUCUUGCAUUGACAGUAAGUGUUGGUGUAAAAAUAUAAAAAAUAAAAAAAAAUAUAGUUGUCUUUUUACCUCUCUAGGUCUGCACCACAGUGCCCCAAGAUGUCUGCUAGAUAUCUUGGCGGAAACACACCCCAACUCCUCGGCGGCGGUCCAGUGUCUCCACCCGCCGCACACUUUCCUACACUCAAACUGUUACAUAAAAGAACACACAGCACAAUAAUCUUUGACCCAAUUGGUAAGAUAUAAUUGCCCACCUAAACAUACAAAGCCCAGUACCAUCAAUCGCUUAGGAACAUUUGUAACAACCUGUAAAGGUGCAGCGUGGAAUCUUAACAUCACCGGCCAUAUUGUCCUGCCACCGCUUCUCUCCCCCUCUGGUCUCCUCCUUUCUGUUCCAGUCUCCUCCUCUCCCUUCAAACUUCUCUCCCGCCCAUCCUUCCUUCUCCUCCAAUGACAGGCCUCCUUCUAUCUAUUGAAUUUUACAAAUUCAAUGGGUAGAAGUUUCUGGUUCUGACUAGGCAGCUGUCCUUGGGGCAGUGGAAUUAGCAUCAAAAUACAGAUAACUCCAGGGCAAACCACAACAAGUAAGGAUCUAUCACUCAAAGUGCUUAGUAUAAUAAAAAGUUGCUAACCAAUUUGUCCUUAACUUUUACAAUCCAUUUCCUGGAUGAUGCUGCCCGCAAUACUGUAACUAAAAAUUCCGUUAUCCUGAGAAUUUUAAAGUAAGUAUUUGAAUUUCUUACCUAACAGAUCAGAUAAGUUUUGGAAACAAUUGAUACAUCAAGUUAUAUAUUAGUCUAUAGUUUAUUAUAAAGGCUAUAUUUUAAAGAUGUUUCUUGAGGUUCUGAGGACACUAAAGUUAAUGAACAUGGGGUCCUUUUAAUGAUAUUUUUGGGAGUCUGUACAGAGAAAUGCAAGAAGAUAGAUGUUCCUAAGACCUAUAAUGUAUGACAUGUAUUGGAUUAUGUAGAGAAAUUAUACUAGUUUGGGGAAAUGAGCUAAUGCUUGUCCCAAAGCAAUGCUAAAUGGGAAAUGAUGGGAAAUUCUUUCAGUAGGUAAAUACUUAGUUGAUUAUUUCACAAGUAUACAUAGAGUUAAGCACAACAUGAGAAUGAUAAGAAAGUACACUUUCAAAAGAGAAAAUGAGAAUUCAUUUUAUGGAGAAAGCCAGAUUAUGCACAAUGGUGACAUGAAAAUGGACGGAGGGUGGGCCUCAGUGCAGGUAUAGGGGAUCAAAACACAUUUGAAGCUAAUAAAAGAUAAUCUGUGGUGGUCAUCUGGGUGGUGCUCAUUGCUACAGCAAUGCUAGAAAACCAUAUAUUCUUCCUCUCUCAGCUUUUCCUUAAGCACUUUGCCUGGUUAAUCCUCAAACAUGACUAAAAGUGAUCUUUCAGUUUGUCUUUUCCAUUGUCACCAGUCAUCUAGGUGGACUUGGGCUACACAUUCUCUGCCUCGCUGGCACCUGAUGAAUCCUCUCAGUGUGAAACUUACCUCUAUUUAGGUAUUGUGCCACAAACACAGACCUCUUUCUUCCACUGGGUCUCCUGGGAGUCCUGUGUGACUGGUUGUGGCAGAUCUCCUGAAAGACCUUCAGACUAUGGGGUCUUCAGAGGAGAAGACAAACUGAUAAUCUGCUGAGCUUUAAUUUCAGAACUCAGAAGCCGAAAGGAGAGAUCUAAAAUGGAUAGCUGAGGACCGAACCCAGGGCCUUGCACUUGCUAGGCAAGCGCUCUACCACUGAGCUAAAUCCCCAACCCCUAGAAUUAUAUUUUUAAUAAAUGUGAAGAAUUUAUUUUAUCCAUUGAGCUAAUAGUGGCAAAUAGAUUAAAGAGUUUAACAUACAAUUUAGAGAUAAAUAACUCAAAAUUCAUAACUAAUAACAAUGUAAUAACAGAGCACAUGUUUUACUAACUCCUGAUAAAUUUCAUGCUCUGCUUUAUACGUGGAAAGUUCUAUGCUAAGACCUGAAGAAUCAUUCAGGUAUAUUGUAUAUUUAUCUGCAUACAUGCAAAGAGGAAAAUUUGACACAGAAAAAAAACCAAUGUGACAUGCCCAAAUUUAUCAUUUUUUCAUAACCUUCAUGCAAUUCAGAAUGACUUUUUGUUGGCUUUCAAUAAUACGCUCCUGAAACUCAGCCCUCAGCUCUUUUUAACUCCACCGUGAGACUUGCCACAAUUAACAAAAAGCAUGCAUUUUUACGGCUGAUUGUGUAUUUUCAAUUCGCUUAUUCUUCUUGAAAUGAUUAAGGCAGGAAUGUUUUAUAACGUGUCUGCUGAAAUUUUAGAUAGAUAAGCUAGAGAUCACUUCCAAAGAGGCUUCCGAGUGGAACCUGAAGGCCGAAAAGGGUAGGUACUGCAGAUAUUGGAAGUCUCGCAUCCCAGGCACAUUCAUUGAUGUUCUGUUGGGUUUCUGUGGACAGUGAGGAGAGUGUUAUGGUGAGAGCUUCACGAAAUUUAUAACUUCUGUUACUCAAGAAAGAAAUUAAAAAGAAGUAAAGCAUGGCCCUGAGGUUGUGAUGCCACCUGGAAGCUAUCCAUAAAGUAAUCUAGGUUGUAGAACUCUUCUGGUGCUGGGGACAGCAUCAGUGAGCACGUGCAUCAGGCAAGCUUUCUUACCAAUGAGCUCUGUAUCCCAAGCAGGAGGACUUUCACAAAGAAGUAACGUGUUGUGCGCUUAGCUCCAUCUCCAAGGAGAUCGCCGCUUCCUUCGGAAUAGACUGUGACAGAGGUUAUAGUUACAGUAAGACACCUUGAGAGUACCACUGCAAUAAUCAGAGACAACAUGGUGUUUUCUGAAAGGAGGAAGUCAGGUGUAGAUGUCCACAGCUGCAAUUUAACGUUUUGAAGGUAGAGGCAGGAAAAUAAGGAAUUUAAUGAAUUCAAGGCCAGUCUGGAUCGCCUAACUGCUAUCUCAAAUAUAACAAAGAAAGUGAUUAAUUAUGCAAUUUACAGAAUUUAGUAGAAAAUUAGUAGGGUGUCUGAUAGAUUUGAUUCAGAAUACACAAAAGAAAGAAACAAACAAGAUGGCUAUAACCAAGGACAAACAAGAUUAAGAAUGACUGUAAUGGACAAUAGUAUUAGACAAUGAAUUGUUAUGGGCAGAAAAAUAUGAAACCUCAAUUUGAAUAUGUAAAUGUUGUUAUGACAGGCAGACAUUUUCUAAUAAGUAUUUUAUUAGCAGAGGUCUGGAAUUAAUACAGAUUUCCUGGUGGAUAUGCUAACUCUAGCAUAUUUAACAUCAUUAAAUAUAAAUUAUAUUUUAAUAUAUUCAUUAUAUUUGAUUGGAUGAGAUCACCUUAUGUAAUCAUUAAUUUAUUAUUUUAAUCAUAUAUAUAUAUAUAUAUAGGUUUAUAUAUAUAUAGGUUUGUGAAGGUAAGGACUGCAGAGAUAAGAGGAUUGGGAUUCCCCUCAACUGAUGUUACAGGUCACUGUGAAAUACCUGAUAUAGGUUCUGGCAAUGAAACUGAGGUCCUCUGGAAGAGCAGAACAUACUAUACAUUGCCAAACCAUCCUUCCAGCUUUACCGUACAUGCUAUAUUUAAGUAACAGAAAAAUAUGCUGCAGUGUACUUAAUGAAACAGAACAAUAAGACCAACCACAGGUUUAAUAAAGACAAAAGUGACAAGGAAAAAUAUUGACUACAUACUUUUUUAAAAUCAUGUCCAUUAAAAUAAAAAUAUUAAAGUUAUUAUACAUGCAUAAAAUAUUAAGAAACAUAACUUCAAAAUUGAGUAUAACAAGUGCUUUGGUGCUGCUGACAGAGGAAGGUAAAGGACAACCUUGUUUGCAUUGAUUAGUUUCUCAAAAUAAAUGAGUGUAUGAAUAAAUUAAAUAAACUGAGAUAAUUACAACAGAA